UAAAACCCUGCAACUUUUCGUAUCUCUGUAGUAGGCCUGCUAUUCCCAAAAAAAAAUGGAAACCCUAGAAGACGAACAAUCAACGAUUACAGAUGAUCGAUCCAAAAAUUCAUUCCCUGAGGAACUCAUCGAAGAUAUCCUUUCCAGACUCCCCGUGAAAUCCAUCCUCCGAUUCAAAUCUGUCUCUAAACCAUGGCUAUCGCUCAUCUCCGCUCCAUCAUUCCACAACCUCCACUCCACCGUUGCCCCCCGUACCACCGCUUUCUUUUUUACUGCUCGCGAUUUAUCCACUGGCACACGAUACUUCUUCUCCGGUGCUAAUGACGGUGGAUCAGUCGCUAAUCUCAUGAAGCUCGACAACACUGUCUUGGAAGCCCAUUAUCAUGCCGAACAUUUGAACGGGCUUGUAUGUUUUACUUCCCACACUAGUCGUUUUGGUAAAAUUUACGCUUUCCUUUUUAACCCUAGUACGCAUAAGUUUUUCAAACUUCCUGAUCCUCCGGUUUCUUUACCCAAUUACACUGCUGAAGAGAAGGAUACAUGUUACUUGUUUGGGUUUGAUGAAUUAACUAAUGAACACAAGGUUUUGUACAUCACUGUUCAGUUGACUACAAUUGAGAUUAUGAUUUUCUCCUUCUCAAAUUACUCAUGGAGAAAGAUCAAUGUGGAUGUUCCUGUUGGUGUGGCUGUCUGGCGUUGGUGGUUUGGCACCAAAAAGAGUGUUUGUGUCAAUAGCACCGUACAUCUUUUGCUUCGAAAUCCACUUCAAAUUUUGGCAUUUGAUUUAACAACUGAAACGUUUUCCAUUUUUAACAUGCAUCCAGAGGCGGCUCCCGAAACUAUAUCAAAUACCAUAUGUCCAUUUGCACAGUUCGUAAAAAUCAAUGGAUUAUUAGGUGUAGCUUGUUACGAUCCCUCGAUCGUGAACCGAAGAAACAAAAUGGACAUUUGGAUGUUGCAAGAUUAUCAGAAUCGAGUUUGGGUCAGAGAAACCAUUUCGUUCGCUUCCAAGUCUCAGAUCCCUUAUGGGGCACGUGGCCCUUACCCGUUUGAUUCUAUCACUAUGGACGAGAUUAUCUUUAGCCCAAGGGUGUUGUCUGAGAAUUUGAUCAGUGUUCCCAUCUAUAACCUGAAGAAUAGAUGUUUUAAAUCAACUGAACUCACUCUUGGUCAUCGAUUUCUAUCCCCAAAAUCAGUGAGGGUGGAGGAAAUCAAGUGUUAUGUUGAAAGCCUCAUUCCCUUACAGAACUAGCAUGCAUUCAUUUCUGGAAUUCAGGUUCGCAUUUUGUUGCUAUCUUGUUAAUGAACAUGUACUUGUAAAGUUUCUGCUGAUGCUGCUCUUAUGUUAAAUAGUAUUCGGAAUCUUGUAUCCCUAUGCAAAUUUUGCUGUGUGAAAUGCUAACAAUCUGCUUUACAAGAUCAACACAAGUUGUUCCCUAUUUGCAUCGUGUAUUUGAGUCGAGAGAUCAUAGGCUUGUUUAUCUCAGUUUAUCAUACAUGACACGGCGUGAGCUCAAAUGCCAUAUGCUCAUGUAUGACAGUCUCGUAUAUAUAGUGGCAAUUUUGGGGUUUAAUAAAGCUACUAAGGGAAUAUGUCAAACAGGUAAAAAAUUGUCUGAAAGUAUAUUGUGUUGAAUCCAAUUUCUAAUUUUCUUUUAAUAAAAAAAUUUAUUAUUGGGGGUAAAUUGCAUUUCUAAUUUUCUAUAAUAAAAAAAUAGAUUAUUAUUGGAGGGUAAAUUGCAUAAAUUAGCAACUAAUUUACAAAAGUAUUUUUUUAAUCGUUGUAGUUUUUAUUGUUUGUUUUUUUUGGGUAAAGGGUUACCCCGGUGAUAUGUCCUAUCAUGGCCGUUAAAGGUAUGCUUUUAUGUUAUUAUUACAUGAUUUUGGUCAUGAAAGCAUGUCUUCUGCCUCGUCACAUGUAUGUUUCACAUAAUUUAUCUGGAGGUGGUUACUAGGUGAGGUAAGAAAUGAAUGGGUCGGCUUCUGGGUUAGUUUUAGUACCGUGCGAAAUGGUUGGGGGAUCCACAAACCAAUUUUUUGUUAUUUUUUAAAGCAAUAUGAAUAGGAAGAUCUAAGCAUAAAAAGAAAAAUCGGGGUGAUUUUCAACCUGUUUGACGAGUUUUCAUUCAGCCAAAACUUUUUAUUUGACCCAUUUGAUGUAUAGAUUUGGGUCCACAUCAGCAGCUUGCCGCACCUAUUUACGUUUGUUUGCCUUGAUCCCAGGAUGUUUCAUUCAUCCCAGGAUGUUUCUUGUUUGUUUGUGUGCCUUGAUCACUGGAUGUUUCUUUUAUUUUCUUUUUUCUUUUCAAGUUUCAUGCAUUCUAUUAUUUUUGCCGCCUAAGUCUAGGUUUAGAAAAGAUAUGGAGAUCAUGGAUUUUUUUAUUUAAAGCUCAAUGGAAUGAAAAGGGGGCACUUGCGGCUACCCAAGCUUCACGCAUCCAACUACCCAAGCUUUACUAACGCCCCUCACUACAAGAAAGUUGGCUUUUAGCGAUGACCCCUUUAGCGGCGACAUCAAAGAAGUCGUCGCUAAAAGGCCAAUCCGUGUCCAGGUUCUAAAACAAAUCCUUGACCGUUGAUCUUGUGUGCAAUAUGACGGUCCAUGUUUUAUUGUUGCUUUAGGUGUACAAAACCUGUGGCGGGCAAACCAAUCACUCAUUCCCCCCAAAUCGAUCCACCAGCCCUACCCCAAACCCAAGAUGCCGCCAGAUUGAUUCAACUCGGCCACAGCCGUUCGCUCGCCGCCACAAUCUGCAGCGUUCGGAGUCAUCUCACAUAUCCUCAGCCGCUUGCUCGACGCACCAUGUCCACUGCACCAGAUUGUAAUGUCUCUGUGUGCCACAUACCCUCUGCCAUUACACCUCACAGGCGCCCCAUUUUAUCUCUACACUUGCAUUUGCAUGUUUCUCAACAGAUUGAAGGUUAAUGGUGCUUAGGUCUGUUUUACCAGUGACGGAGAGGAAGAAGAGCCGCCGCAAUGGCUCCGGCCACGGCUUCUCUGCCGUCUUUAACGCCACCUCUCUUCCACCCUAAACAUCUGCAAGUCGCUGAUUAUAUUUAAAUCAAACCUAGAUGAGACGAAGAGAAAGAAGAACGGAAAAAACGGCAGGUAUUUAUUUCUUUGUUUUUGAAAUCGAGAUUCAUAAAAAUUCUGUCACACCGCUGCUGACAGGUAAAACCUAGCCAUAGUUUUUUACGUAAUUUUAUAUAAAUUCAUUUCAGUUUCAUACAUAGAUAGUUAGGGUUUGGGCGAGUUCGAGGUAUACUCUCUGUACAUUUCUUCAUUUUUCCUCUCUCUACAUAUAUGUGUAUUUAUGUUUUUUAGUUUUGAUAUUUGUUUGUGAUUGUAUAAUUUAUAUUUAUUGGAUCCAUAUUUGUUGAUUUGAUUAUUUUUGUUGUUAUGAAUGAAGAUCUUCUAUACAGGGAUUACCAGGGAGAUCAUAAGUUCACCAUCACCACCUAUUCAUCUACUGGAGUUGUCAGUUGUCUGUUUAAUUACUCAAUGUUUCUUUAUUGUUGUUAGCAUGUUACUGCGUGUGAUUGUAGCUUUUUGUUUUAUGAGUUUGUUAAGUUUUAUAUACACACUAUAUUUUCUUAAAGUUGAAAAUGUUAGGGUUUGGUUUUAUUCGUUGUUAUAUAAUAAUUUUUGAGCAUUAGAAUGAAUUUGGAGAAUAGAGAUAACAUAGGGUUUUGAAAGUCGUCAUAUGGUGUUUGAAUUGCAAGUGUUGUAAAUACUAUAGUUUCAGUUUGGGUUAUGAGUUAUGAUGAUUUAUGGUUUUUGUGAAGUAUCUAUUGAUUUUAGUGUUUAUGCUGUUUUAUACAGGCUUCUACAGAGGCAGCAUCGGAAAAGAAGUGGACACUUUAAUGAUCUUGACACCGGGAAGCCGCUUGGAAGGGGAAAGUUUGGCCAUGUGUAUAUUGCUAGGGAAAAGAGGGUAUUGUUUCAUUGGCUUAAGGCGCAUGUGGAAGAAUAGAAUAGAAAAGCUAGCGAAAGGAGUCCAUGUUGGUUAUAUGUAUUUCAUGUUCCACUCAAGCAACUGGUAGUUUCAAAUCUAUUAAAGACGAACAAACAAUUGUCGUUCCCCAGUCUAUCAACGAGGAUAAAGAACCCAAAAGCUUAUGUGGAGAAAAGCUAGCGAAGGGAGACCAUGUUGGGUUUGCAUUCCAGAGUUGGGUGGGCUAUGGAUUUCCAUUUGACAGAGGUGAUAUCUUUCACACCAUCAAUCCUUUACGCAAAAGGAAAUUCAAUUAGCGUGCCCUUGAGGUAACGCCUGUAACGUGUUUGUGUAGAUGUUUGAUAGAAUAUGCCCAGAUUGUCUUACCUUUUUUUUUUCUUUUUUAAUUAAUUAGCUUCUUUAUUUUACUGUAAUAUUGGGUGUCUUAGGAGGAUGUGACAGUUCAAACAUAUACACCUCUGAUCACCAUUGGUUUUGCUCACUAGGUCUUCGAAUGUGGCUGUAAAAUCUUGCAAACCCUUUUAUCAUGGAAGUGAGGAGUUAUCACUUAUGAUUCAGAUUCACCUUGCCCUUCGAAAUGCAACUUUUGAUUUCAUUGUUGAAUAUGAUCAUUUUAUUUAUUGGCUACAAUGAAACAGCAGGUUACCUAGAACCCCGCCGCAACGCGACAGGUGGUUCUACUAGUUAUUAUAACAAAUAUUGUCAGAGAAAAAUUGUUUGUGUAGGGUUUAGUAAUAUCCACGUCAGACAUAUACAACUUAUGUGAUGAGUUUAUAUACUGCUAGGUG